UACGUAGGGGGCAAGCGUUGUCCGGAUUUAUUGGGCGUAAAGAGCGUGUAGGCGGCCAUACAGGUCCGUUGUGAAAACUGGAGGCUUAACCUCCAGACGUCGAUGGAAACCGUAUGGCUAGAGUCCGGAAGAGGAGAGUGGAAUUCCUGGUGUAGCGGUGAAAUGCGCAGAUAUCAGGAAGAACACCCGUGGCGAAGGCGGCUCUCUGGGACGGUACUGACGCUGAGACGCGAAAGCGUGGGGCGCGAACAGG
rnacentral:rRNA from 1 species